rnacentral:rRNA from 1 species
AUUGGACGCUGGCGGCAGGCCUAACACAUGCAAGUCGAGCGGAUGAAGGGAGCUUGCUCCUGGAUUCAGCGGCGGACGGGUGGGUAAUGCCUAGGAAUCUGCCUGGUAGUGGGGGAUAACGUCCGGAAACGGGCGCUAAUACCGCAUACGUCCUGAGGGAGAAAGUGGGGGAUCUUCGGACCUCACGCUAUCAGAUGAGCCUAGGUCGGAUUAGCUAGUUGGUGGGGUAAAGGCCUACCAAGGCGACGAUCCGUAACUGGUCUGAGAGGAUGAUCAGUCACACUGGAACUGAGACACGGUCCAGACUCCUACGGGAGGCAGCAGUGGGGAAUAUUGGACAAUGGGCGAAAGCCUGAUCCAGCCAUGCCGCGUGUGUGAAGAAGGUCUUCGGAUUGUAAAGCACUUUAAGUUGGGAGGAAGGGCAGUAAGUUAAUACCUUGCUGUUUUGACGUUACCAACAGAAUAAGCACCGGCUAACUUCGUG